AUCCUGCCUUGGAACCAGCCAGCCAUGGACUGAAAUGUCCAGAGUCACCUAGGAUGGCCCCGGAAGACGGAAUGAGUACGGACUGGACCAGCCUUCCGAUUCUGAGUGGUUUGCCAUGCUUUUGUAUGAGGACCCUGCAGCGGGCAGCCUGUCCUGAUCCCUUGGCCCCGCAGACCUGGGGGAGCAGGUGUGUGGCCUGUGGCACCCUCAGCCUAGUUCAGCCCAUCUUGCAAGGAUUCAAGGAGUUUCCAGGUUUGUCUCUGGUGGGGCCAAGAGGACAUGCAAGCGCUGGGAAACUGAUCUGGGGACAAGGAAGAAGGGGUGCAGUUGAAUAAAAAGAGAUAAUACAAAAGGGAAGAAGAAAACGAGGUUGAGAGGAGAUCAGAGGUGGCCCCCAGGUCCCUAGGUCCCCAGAUCCCCCACAGCCCUCUGGUCUCUCAGGCCCCAGGGCCCCCCAAUCACCUCCUUUAGUCUAAAUCCCAGCAUUGGGUUUUGUCUUGGGGACACUUUACAGCCACUACAUGGUUUGGGGAGGCACAGGGUGGUUGUAGGGGGAGGAGGAAGUCUGGGGUACCCACAGGAAGAUAGUGGAGGGCAUCUGUGUCCCUGGGUCGUGGGGUCUCUGCACACUUGUGGCUUUUCUCUUCAGCAGCUUGGUGGGCUGUGUCUCUGCUAGAGCACUGGGCACUGACCUGGGCACUGACCCGGGCACUGACCCGGGCACUGACCUGGGCACUGAUGGUCAGCCUGGCUGUGCUGCUGGAGUGGCUCCAGCACCAGCCUCGCAGGGAAGGAUGGCUUCUGGCCCACAGCAGCGGCUCUGCUGGAACUAGGUCACCCUUGGCACCUGUGUCCCCAGCACGCAAUCCGUCCCAGGUGGGACCAAGCAGAAAGCCCAACACCCAGGUGCAGGGGCACCUGGAAGGCCCAAGCAAACACCAUCAUUCCUGAGGUGGCCCCGCCCUGUGGACUUGGCACUUUGGAAGCAGCAGGUGUGAAAAAAGGCCAGGAGUGUGGUGAGGCGCAGGCCACAGGGUUCUGGCUCAAAGUCCUGAGCUUCCAGAGUCAGAAGAACUCGGGUAUGUGAACACAGUCACAUCAUAAAGUAUUCAAAUGACUGUAGCAUUCUCCAUAUUUUAUUUUUUACUCUUGGAGCUUAUGACAAAUAACUUGGAUUUCAUGAAAUAUAUAUUUUAAAUGUCUUUGCCCACCAAAAGAGCAAUUCCCUAGCAUGUUAAUUAGACUGGAGAGAUGAAAUUGAGGCUCAGGAGCAUAUUUAUAAUGUGGCUUAUUAAUCAUCGAUGGUUUCCAAGAAAAUAAUUAUGUUGGACAAAUGAUAAUAUUUUGCUCUUAUAACUGUAUCUCUACAUUUAUUCAAAACUCUUGGUUUUCCCCAUUUGGCAUUUGAUUAAUUAUUCUCCUUGGGGUGACAGAUUGUUUGUAGCUUCUUUUGUGGACAGUUUUUGUGAUCCAAUCUCCCUGUUCAGGAAGAGAUUUUGAGUCCACAUCCAGGACCCUGGCAACUUCGCAGGUUGUGGCUUGAAGAGGACACCCUGUGGUCAGCCAUGUGGGGUUGUGGGGCCCCUUCCAGCUGCCCCUGGGAAGAUGGGGUGAUAUCACUGCUUUCUGGGGUUCCUGGGAACAGAGGGUGGGGUGGCCUUGGCCUCUUGGUCCAGACACUCCCGAAGCUGGACAUGUGGUCUUGCUGUAUCUGCUGCUGACGUUCUUCCUGCCCACACCCCGAUCCUGACCCAGGCACUUCCGGGUCCUCACAGGCCAUUCCCUGUUCAUGUGAGCCUUGUCUGCUUUUCCACUUGCUGCGACGCUGCCUCCCUACUUGACCCUCACCACCUCCUCCACUCUCGCUAUCAACAUAGGCUCUUAGGCUGCCUGGGAAACUGAGACAGGAAGAACUAGGCUCUGGAGGUGAUGGCCAAGGGGUUUUGGUUCCCAGAUCGGGCUGAGGGAGACCUGGUGGGUCCAGGCCAUGCUGGUGGACAGGGAGGGUGGGAACUGGGGGAUGUGGGAUGGGUGGGGACCAACGCCAGCAGCUGUGGAGCAGUGACAGAAGCAGCCUGUCCCUCUCCCGGGGCCCAGGGGAUAGUUCUCCCUCCUGGACCCUUUGGAGCAAGGACAAAUGGAGCCAAUGCAGUCUCUUUGUUCCAGACACCAAGUGGCGCUGCCUGCGUUCUCCAUGUCCGUGGGCUGAAGAGACAGAAGCCAAGGCCAAGUGGAUGCCCAGGGCCCUGCCCACCUUUCUUGUGUCCCUAAGGGAAGGACAGGACUGUGCUUAGCUCAGGCCCUGCCCAUAGCCACCAGCAGCUGUGCAGGAGUGUGGCUUCCUGCGAGGCUGCAGCAAUGGGAACCUUGAAGCUGUCCUUGGAGACCCCAGUCUCAGGGCCCUGGCCCUGUAGAGAGAACACUUAAAUAAGAGGCAAUGGGGCUGUAAACCCACCUUCACAGCUGAAGCUCUGGCCAGGUGCUGGUGAUGGGCAACCACUGAGGGGAAGGUAGGACACAGAUCAAUGGUCCAGCUGUCAGGCCGUUCUCAUCAGAGGGGAACGAGCAGCAUGGUUUCCGUCACAAACCAGAUUAAAGAUGGACGAGAGGAGGUCGGUGCAGAGUUUCAUGGAAACAAACACUUUUAGGGAACAUAGAUGCAAUGAAACUCACAGCGGCCUGGAGGAGGAGAAAGAACUACUGCCCAAGCAGUGCCUUAACUGUCUCCAGAGGACACACAGUGCUCCAGACCCUGAGCAGGCACCGACUGGGUGCAUGCAUGUGUUCAGAGGGUGCUGGGCGCCCUGUGUUGUGAGAGCAAUGAAUGGUGCCACGUAUAGACAUAGACUCAUUCAGUCUGGGUAACUCCACAGGAUGUGCGACAGGGUCAUCUGUCCAAGAAGAGGCGUGCUCACCCAGCCCAGUGGGUCGGGUCAGUGCUGGGGCUCGAGUCGAGUCUGUCUGACCAUCACCCUUGCUUCUCCCUCUCUGAGCAGGGCAACAACUCCGUGGCACCUGGGAAACUUCUACUGACAUCAGCUCAGUGGAAGACAACCAUGGCAGCUGUUUGGUGGCUAAGUUUGUGUUUACUAAAUCAUCCUCAGAGAAAGCUGCUCGUGGUAUUUCAAAUCGGCACAUCACUAUUCCUGUGUCCAAGAGACAGAGACCCCUUGGGCUUUCCAAUCUGACAGGGAUCUUUCCAGAACAUUCCCUGGAAAUGAACAGCUCACCACCUGUGUUAGUCUCAGCGUCACAGUAAGCGCACAGCCUGGGCCUCAGCAAAGAAUACAACUCUAUGGAUUCCACUUAGAAAUUGUUUUAGGCUCUCCGCUACUUUCUGCAUGGAAGGAGACAGGUAGAGACAUAUGAAUCCAUGCUGUUGAGAACCCAGAAGCAUCUGGACCUCUGGAAAGGUGUUGAUCUUAAAAAUGAAUUUCCUGUUGGCUGUGGAAGGAUGCUUCUGUUUGCUCUUUUCUGUUGCCAUGGACACUGCCUGGGAAAGCGCCAGUGAUCCCAGGGCUGUGUGUCCAUCUUCAUCAAUGCAAGAGCUGCUGAGCCUUCCCCUGAGACACAGCUCUUCCAGGACAGCAGCAUCUUACUGCUUCUCUGAAGGAAGGACACAGUCUGUGUGCCCACAACUGGUGCCCACCACAGGCCAGGGUGGGGACAGUCGCUGGGUUUAUACCAAAUCUGCCCAGAGACAAGGCCCAGGAGGCAGCUCCAUAGCCAGGUGCUACCUCCUCCCUGCUGCCACGCCUCGUCAGAGUGCACGCUGCACCUGUGGGGUAGUUGGCUGGGUGGGUGGAUGAACAGAUGGAUAAAUGAGUGGUGGAUGGGUGGGUAGAUGGGUGGAUGAGGAGAUGGAUGAUGGGAGGUUAGAUGCAUGGUGGAUAGACAUUUGGAUGGGUAAGUGUGUGGCUGGGUGGAUAAACUGGCAGAGCCUGAUUUUCAGGGAACUUUGAGGAGGUCAGCAUCUGCAUCAGUCCGGGACAGGAAAAGCCGCAGCAGUGUGGGGGCCCGGUAAGCAUUCCCUCCUCGAUGCCCCGCCCCACCCCAGCCCUAAGGCAGCUAUCCCGCUGGCACAGAUAGUGUGCCUGUGAGAAAGAGGAGGGCAGAGCAGCCCUCACCUAAAUGUGGGCACUGACUUUGAAACCAAGCUUUUGCAGUCAAAGCUGGAACGACAGCCCUAAAACUAGAGUGGUUUUGGUUUGCCGAGGCCAAACAUUCGAGCGAGGAGAGGACAUUCCCCGAGUUGAAAGGAGGGUUCAUACAUGUGAAAGUAGUGAGGUGGGCUCGGACUUUGGUCAGGGAGCCAGAGAGGCGGACACAGCCAGGAGAUAGAGGUGUGUGCAAGAGUGUGUGUGCAAAGGGUGAUGCCUCCUGCUGUCUGGAGGGUUCUUCUGGAGUUCAGACUGGUCAAGAUUAAAUCAUUAGCUUACAAUCUUCUCAAAUGAUACGGAGAAAGCGUUUGAUGAAAUCCGGCAUCCAUCCACAAUUAAAACAAGAAAUAAACCCAGCAAAACAAGAAUAAAAAAAGAAAUUCCCUUAGAUGAUGAAUGCCACUGCCUCGGUCAUCCUGGGCUGCCAGAACGCAAGGCUCCAGGGUGGGCUGAUUCCUCACAAUCCUGGAGGCCAGAAGUCUAAGGUCAGGGUGCCGGGCAGGCUAGUGGGGGAGGAGCCUGGACCCAGCUUGCAGACAGCAAACUUCUCACUGCUCCGUGUCUUCACGCAGCCUUUC